rnacentral:rRNA from 1 species
UACGGAGGGUGCGAGCGUUGUCCGGAAUCACUGGGCGUAAAGGGCGCGUAGGUGGCCUGUGGAAGUCUGCGGUGAAAGCCCGGCGCUCAACGCCGGGUCGGCCGUGGAUACUCUCGGGCUUGAGCUUACUAGAGGCAGAUGGAAUUCCGGGUGUAGCGGUGGAAUGCGUAGAGAUCCGGAAGAACACCGGUGGCGAAGGCGGUCUGCUGGGGUAAUGCUGACACUGAUGCGCGAUAGCGUGGGGGAGCAAACAGG